CAGGAAGUAUGGUGGAGGUGCUUACAUUUACGCUGUAAUGACGGGAAGUAUGGUGGAGGUGCUUACAUUUACGGUGUAAUGACGGGAAGUAUGGUGGAGGUGCUUACAUUUACGCUGUAAUGACGGGAAGUAUGGUGGAGGUGCUUACAUUUAUGGUGUAAUGACAGGAAGUAUGGUGGAGGUGCUUGCAUUUACAGCGUAAUGACAGGAAGUAUGGUGGAGGUGCUUGCAUUUACAGCGUAAUGACAGGAAGUAUGGUGGAGGUGCUUGCAUUUACAGCGUAAUGACAGGAAGUAUGGUGGAGGUGCUUGCAUUUACGGUGUAAUGACAGGAAGUAUGGUGGAGGUGCUUGCAUUUACGGUGUAAUGACGGGAAGUAUGGUGGAGGUGCUUACAUUUACACUGUAAUGACGGGAAGCAUGGUGGAGGUGCUUACAUUUACGCAGUAAUGACGGGAAGUAUGGUGGAGGUGCUUACAUUUACG
ensembl:lncRNA